UAGGGAAUAUUGCACAAUGGGCGAAAGCCUGAUGCAGCAACGCCGCGUGCGCGAUGAAGGCCUUCGGGUCGUAAAGCGCUUUUCGAGGAGAUGAGGAAGGACAGUAUCCUCGGAAUAAGGAUCGGCUAACUACGUGCCAGCAGCCGCGGUAAAACGUAGGAUCCGAGCGUUAUCCGAAUUCACUGGGCGUAAAGCGCGUGCAGGCGGUUCGGUAAGUUGGAUGUGAAAUCUCCCGGCUCAACUGGGAGAGGACGUUCAAUACUGCCGGACUUGAGGACGGUAGAGGGAGGUGGAAUUCCCGGUGUAGUGGUGAAAUGCGUAGAUAUCGGGAGGAACACCAGUGGCGAAGGCGGCCUCCUGGACCGUUCCUGACGCUCAGACGCGAAAGCUAGGGGAGCAAACG
rnacentral:rRNA from 1 species